UAUUGAUAUUGUUAGGAGAAAUUCUUCCCUGGUCACUCAUGGAAGUCAAAGGGUUAAUCAGUUGUAGGGUUUGCCUGCAAUGUGUCAAAUUGCCAGUGUGGACUUCAUUCUUCUCAGAUGUCAGCUGGUAAAAGAUAGAUACUUAAAAUAGCCGUCCAUAAGAAAAAGUACACAACAUUAAAAAAAAUCACACUGAAGUGGUGGCAUGAUUGAUUUGUGAUAUUUAGAAUGAAGGAAGUAGGAAAAAACUUAUUGAGCUUUUUCCUGUUCACCAGUAAGUUAAUUGGAUUUUGGAUUCUACAUUCAAACUGGGAUGAUCAAGCUGACAAUAGCCUCAAAAAGGAUUGAACUCCACUGUAAGAAUUAGGUGACUAGUUUGGAAGCUUGAGCACUUGGUAAUUACACCUUGGCUUGCAAUUCUGAUUAUUACAGUUUGCUGAGGUAAUUGAAAUGUUAGUUCCCAAGCAGGAACCUUCCACUUGACCUGUAUAGUCAUGUGCUUUGAGAUAACUUUAGAAAAAUGCAUUUGUGUUGGCAAAACUAUUGUAGAUACAGUACCACCUAGAGACAAAAAUAAGAGAUUUCCUGUAGGCAUGAACAUUUGGAAGAAGUUAUGGUGGUAAAUGACCUUUCUUUUGCCAGGAUGUAUAGGGUCUGAUGAUUGUAAUGUAUAUCUUUUAGCUUUCAAACUUUCAAAUUUGUAUUAGUUGUAGCUGUUUACCAAAUCUAUUCUCUGUACCUUAAGCCCUCAAAAGUUGAAGCAGGUGAGUCAAUAACCUGACUUCCUUUGUUUGGAAUUGUGUGAUUAUAUAAUUUCGCUGUGUAAGUUACCAUACUGUAACAUGUAAUAUUAUUAUUUAGAUUGCAUUUAAUACACUAGCUCAAGCUUUCA